UGUGUACUCCCUCCGUUCCAAAAUACUUGACUUCCAUUUGUCCAAAAAUGGAUGUACCUAUAUACUAAAACAUGUCUAAAUACAUAUAUAUUUUGACAAAUAGAAGGCAUGUAUUGUGCAACGGAGGGAGUAGAAU
rnacentral:pre_miRNA from 1 species